UGUUUUACUAUUUUUAUAUGUACUAUAUUCCCAAAAAUAUGUUAAAAUUAUAUGUUGUAUUGAAGAUACGACUAAGUGCGAGAGAUUAAUUUAAGUUUGAUAAUGUGGUUAAAACUAAUUGGAAAUAAUUAAAGGAGCUUAUAAAUUAAUAAGCAACAUUAACUGUAUCAUAACAAGUUUGAGGUUUUUGAUGGCUUAAAACAUGUAAAAUUAUCCACUAUUCAACAAACAUUAUUCAGCAUUUAACAAUGAUAGGUGCAAAACAUACGGGAAAGAAAACACAAAAAGAAGCAAUAAAUGAGUGUAUUUACGACUGUGUCUCCAAUCCUAUGAAAUAAUUUUGACGUCUGUAUCCAUCAAGGUUAAAUACGAAGAUAAAGUGUUGUGGGAAUCUUUUCAUUGUCACAAAAAUGAGUGUUUAGCACAAGGAUAAUGAAUGUGCCCUAAUUAAACAGUUUAUAUUAAAUACUGUAUCGUUCCAUGAGAAAAAAAUCAUCGAGGACUUGAUAUACAUAGUUUGGGUCCAAGAAAUGAUUGACAUGAAUAUUUGUCUGCUAAUUCGAAUUGGAAUCUACGCACAAAACAUUAUACAUGGAAAUUACAUGCAAUUUGUAACGGAAAUAUAAACAUACGUUUUACUACAUCCAAUUGUAGUGUACGAUGAUGAGGAAGCCAACAAAAAGACCCGUGGUGACUUAAAGUUAGUGCUGACAAUAAGUUAAUUUUGUUUUUAUGUGCUUUUUUGUAUUUUUGUUAAUAAAUAAUGGAUCAGAUGAAUCGUGGUUGGGUUUUACUAUGUCUACUCUGUCUGUUUACAGAUAUAAUAAUGAACUGAUGAAUUGACUUGAUUGUAUUGGGUGUAAGCAAGAAUGA